AACGAGGUGUGGGCAGUGUAGAAGCCGUCUGUGCCGGAGCAAACGCGAUAAGUUCACCGCCUGGGGAGUACGGUCGCAAGGCUAAAACCCAAAGGAAUUGACGGGGGCCCGCACAAGCAGCGGAGCGUGUGGUUUAAUUCGAUGCAACGCGAAGAACCUUACCUGGGCUUGACAUGUACGUAGUAGUGAAGGGAAACCGGAACGAGCCUUCGGGCAGCGUAGACAGGUGCUGCAUGGCUGUCGUCAGCUCGUGUCGUGAGAUGUUGGGUUAAGUCCCGCAACGAGCGCAACCCGUGUUGCUAGUUACAAGUGUCUAGCGAGACUGCCGGUAACAAGCCGGAGGAAGGUGCGGAUGAUGUCAAGUCAGCAUGGCCUAUAUGUCCAGGGCUACACACACGCUACUAAUGGCUGGUACAAAGAGAAGCGAAAGGGAGACCUGAAGCGAAUCUCAUCAAAGCCUAGUCAUAGUUCGGAUUGCAGGCUGCAACUCGCCUGCAUGAAGUCGGAGUUGCUAGUAACCGCAGGUCAGCAAUACUGCGGUGAAUACGUUCCCGGGCCUUGUACACAC
rnacentral:rRNA from 1 species